rnacentral:rRNA from 1 species
UACAGAGGGGGCUAGCGUUGUUCGGAAUUACUGGGCGUAAAGGGCGCGUAGGUGGCCUGUUAAGUCGAACGUGAAAUCCCCGGGCUCAACCCGGGAACUGCGUCCGAGACUGGCAGGCUCGAAUCCGGGAGAGGGAUGUGGAAUUCCAGGUGUAGCGGUGAAAUGCGUAGAUAUCUGGAGGAACACCGAUGGCGAAGGCAGGUCUCUGGGCAUUAACUGACGCUGAGGAGCGAAAGCAUGGGGAGCGAACAGG